rnacentral:rRNA from 1 species
AGCGAACGCUGGCGGCAGGCCUAAUACAUGCAAGUCGAACGGCUCUUCGGAGCAGUGGCGGACGGGUGAGUAACGCGUGGGAACGUGCCCUUUGGUUCGGAACAACACAGGGAAACUUGUGCUAAUACCGAAUGUGCCCUUCGGGGGAAAGAUUUAUCGCCAUUGGAGCGGCCCGCGUUGGAUUAGCUAGUUGGUGGGGUAAUGGCCCACCAAGGCUACGAUCCAUAGCUGGUCUGAGAGGAUGAUCAGCCACACUGGGACUGAGACACGGCCCAGACGCCUACGGGAGGCAGCAGUAGGGAAUCUUGCGCAAUGGGCGAAAGCCUGACGCAGCCAUGCCGCGUGAAUGAUGAAGGUCUUAGGAUUGUAAAAUUCUUUCACCGGGGAAGAUAAUGACGGUACCCGGAGAAGAGGCCCCGGCUAACUUCGUGCCAGCAGCCGCGGUAAGAC